rnacentral:rRNA from 1 species
UGCGUAGGUGGUCUUGUAAGUCAGAAGUGAAAGGCUACGGCUUAACCGUAGUAAGCUUUUGAAACUGCAGGGCUUGAGUGCAGGAGAGGAAAGUGGAAUUCCUAGUGUAGCGGUGAAAUGCGUAGAUAUUAGGAGGAACACCAGUGGCGAAGGCGACUUUCUGGACUGUUACUGACACUGAGGCACGAAAGCGUGGGGAGCGAACA